UGGCCCAGAUCGUUUACCGUGAAAAAAUUAGAGUGUUCAAAGCAGGCAGAUCCAAUUUUCUGCCWCCGAAUACAUUAGCAUGGGAUAAUGGAAUAGGACCCUGUCCUCCUAUUUUCAGUUGGUUUUGGCAGCGCGAGGACUAGGGUAAUGAUUAAUAGGGAUAGUUGGGGGCAUUMAUAUUUAAUUGUCAGAGGUGAAAUUCUUGGAUUUAUGAAAGAUUAACUUCYGCGAAAGCAUCUGCCAAGGAUGUUUUCAUUAAUCAAGAACGAAAGUUAGGGGAUCGAAGACGAUCAGAYACCGUCGUWGUCUUCUCCACUUUUCUCCSACCAGCGAUUAGGAGCCGUUGACCCCAAGGCCUUCCCUCCAGCUCUCCUCCWUUAAGGUAGUCCMRGACAAAGUAGAGCUGUMCGGGCGSUS
rnacentral:rRNA from 1 species